rnacentral:rRNA from 1 species
GACGAACGCUGGCGGCGUGCUUAACACAUGCAAGUCGAGCGGAAAGGCCACUUCGGUGGUACUCGAGCGGCGAACGGGUGAGUAACACGUGAGUAAUCUGCCCCUCACUUUGGGAUAGCCACCGGAAACGGUGAUUAAUACCGGAUAUGACCAUAUGUCGCAUGGCGUGUGGUGGAAAGUUUUUCGGUGAGGGAUGUGCUCGCGGCCUAUCAGCUUUAUGGUGAGGUAAUGGCUCACCAUGGCUUCGACGGGUAGCCGGCCUGAGAGGGUGACCGGUCACACUGGGACUGAGACACGGCCCAGACUCCUACGGGAGGCAGCAGUGGGGAAUAUUGGACAAUGGGCGGAAGCCUGAUCCAGCAACGCCGCGUGAGGGAUGACGGCCUUCGGGUUGUAAACCUCUUUCAGUACCGACGAAGCGCAAGUGACGGUAGGUACAGAAGAAGCACCGGCCAACUACGUG